rfam:Felis catus isolate Cinnamon breed Abyssinian chromosome B3, whole genome shotgun sequence.
GCCUGGGUGGCUCAGUCGGUUAAGCGUCCGACUUCCACUCGGGUCAUGAUAACGCGGUUCGUGAGUUCGAGCUCCGCCUCGGGCU